rnacentral:lncRNA from 1 species
CUCCGACCGAAGGCUGCCGGAACAAGCGGGCGAGAGGCGCGGGGCCACUAACAAGCGCCCCCGGCCCCUCGAGCCCCGUGAGCCAUGGCGGGCGCCCGGCGAGUCCGCCGCUCCACAGCGAGUGGCUAGCCGGGCCUGGCGGCCACUGCUGCCUACCCUCUUCCUUCUGCUCUCCGGGCUUCGGAACUGCGGAGAGAAGGAUGAGCCCCUGAAGCUGGUUCCUGCAGCCCGCCCUCUGCCUGCUGCCCGCCCUCUGCCUCCUGCCGGCGAGCGCAGCCCCUGCGCUCGGCGCCCCCGCCUACGCCAACUGCGAGCUCAAGCCCCAAGUCAUCUUUGCUUUGAACCAGACCCUCCUGCAGCAAGAGAGCCUGAGAGCAGGUGGCCUUCAGAUGCCCUACUCCACAGAGGACCUCAUCAAACACUAUAACUGCGGGGACCUCAGCUCCGUCAUCUUCAGCCAUGAUAGCUCCCAGAGAAUGAUAUUGCAGCCCGGAAGAACAGCAGGCGGGAGAUUCCUAGGAUGGUGUGCCACACUUGCUCUUUGCCUUGCAUCAUCUUGACUCUCUGGGCUGGGUGAUUUGAUGCCCAAAUAAGCAACUUCAUAGCCCUGUGGCCAUUAAUUUUUGUUUUUCUUUUUACUUUGGUGGAGGUUCCCAAUUUUAUUAAUGCCACGCUACUGCCCCAGGAACGCAUCACUGCUCAGGAGAUUGACAGCUACUUCCGCCGGGAGCUCAUCCACAAGCGGGAGGAGAGGAUGGGGAAGCGGGUGAAGGCCCUUUUGGAAGAGUUCCCCGACAAAGGCUUCUUCUUUGCCUUUGGAGCUGGGCAUUUCAUGGGCAACAACACAGUUCUGGAUGUCAUUCGGCGUGAAGGCUAUGAGAGGCAAGAGUAAAAGCCCCGCAUUGCGUCCUGCUGCCUCUCUUGGCUCCGGAAGCGCCGACCCCGGAAGCACCUCUACCGGAAGCUGGGGCCGCUGGGCGCUCACUGUUACAGCCCUACGCGUCUCUGCCUCACGUGACUGUGCCCGGAAGCAUGGACUUGCACCGAGGCAGAAAGAAAGUUCCGGAAGAAGCGGAGACGGCCUUAGCGGAGGCAGUGGCUUCGGCAAUUCAGCGACCUGUGCCUCUGACUGGAGGAGAGAGAAGAGCGGUGACAAGAAGCUGUGCAGACCUUUGGGGGCCUCAGAGUAUCCAGUGGCUCCUUGUGCCCUGAGACUGUCUCUCUCUUUGCCUCCAAGUGCUGUGGGCCCACAGCUCCAGGUCCCUGUUCUGGCGGGCACAUCUCCGCUGAGCUGUGGCUCUCUCACCAUGGACAUUCCCCCAACAGCCAGACGGUGGCCAGCAGUGCCUGCCUGUCUCUCUGGAUCCCUGCGUUCUGGGUGCUGGAGCUGGCUUUCCAGACAGAGGCACUCUUCCUGUACUGACCAGAGGAGCCAAGCCAAGACCCUGGCCCCUCGGACUUGAAGGCCAGUCAUUCCUGUACCCACACUCUGGUCAGGCCCUGAUAGACCCAACCCAGGAGAAGAGACUCCAAAUAAAGCCAGUGUUGCUUCUCCUUUUUCCAAGGAAUGACUUUGGGUUUUCUAGCAAUCCUUGGGGUGGGUGGGGGGAGUUGUACAGCUUUGUAACGUAAUGAGCUGUAUGAAGAUAAUUAAUGGUAAAUGAAUCGUAUGGAAAUAAUUAAAUACCUUUUUGUGUGUG